UCUGGUAGGUUUGUCAAUACCUUUAGAGUAGUGAAUUUCGUGAGAAAUAUCACUAGACUAUAGGUCAUUUUGAACUUAACCAGUAUAAAUCUCUUUGUGUUCAUUGACUCAUUUAAAUCUUUAGCUAUAACGUAAAAUCGAUUACUAUUAUUGCAUAUCACAUUUCGAUUUUAAAGCCUAUCUAUAUCUAUAUAUACUUAUAUUUAAUUGACUUCAAAGUCCGACCUAUUAUCAGGUGCUCAAAAUGUCAUUUACUUUUAAGUUAUUUACUUUAAAUCCUCGACCUGUUAUCAGGUGCUCAAGAGCCAUUUACUUUUACGUUUAAGUCCUCAACCUGUUUUCAUGUGUUUAAGAGGCUUGAUAUUUUUACUAAGCAUAAUAUAUAUACUUAUAUAAUAAUAAUAUCACAUUAAUUAUUAUAUUGUUAUAUGCUCAUUUGCUAUAUUGAGUGUUAUUGCAGAUAUUUUCGCUAAAAUCUGCAAUACGUGAAAAAAGGCUAUCACCCCCCUUAUAACCUCGAAUUACGAUCCAACAAGUGGUAUCACGAUCCAAGAAAUGAUAUGGAAAGAUUUAGAAGAUCUUCAUGAAAGCAUAUCACAUGUCAAAGAAAACAAGCUCAUACAUGCCCUUGCAAAGUAUGAGAACUUCACCAUGAAGAAAGACGAGACCAUUGCCGAAAUGAAUGUCAGAUUCACAUGCAUUACAAAUGAUCUAGAUAGCCUUGGAGAACAUAUCUGAGAAGAAUCAGGUAAGAAAGAUAUUGCGCAGUCUUAUUCCAGACAAAUAUUACUCUAAGAGAAAUGUCAUUCAAAAAGCCCACUACAUCGACACUUUCACAGUUGUAAACUUAUGUGGAAACCUUAUGGCAUAUGAGAAUGAGAGGUUCCUGUCAAAAGAAAAACCUUAAAAGAAAAAUGACAGCUUUCAGAACCCAAUCAGACAAUGAAUUCUCAGAUGAUGAACUGUCCUUGAUCACAAACAAGAUUCGAAACUACAUUCUGAAAAAGAGAGCCUCAAGAGGUAAGGAUCACAAAUAUGAAAGAAGAUCAUUGUCAGAGCACAAAAGCUAUCCAAACAGGAACUCAUAUGAG
rnacentral:lncRNA from 1 species